GUUGGGUUGUGUUUUGGAGGAUGCACGGCUCUCAACCUUCACCUCUCCCGAGUCCGUAUGGGAGUUGCAGUGAUGAGACAAGACUGUAACUACCAAUUGGAUACCAUGAAAUUGUGGAGAAAAAAGGGGUAAAAGUACAAAUUGUAAAAAUAAAUCUUCUGGACAACAGUGGAUGGGAAUUUUGACCGCCUCAUGGAAACAAUUGAGCAUGUCAAAUGCAAGAUACAUAAAGAUACUCACACAAAAGGGAUAUGGGCAUGUUAUGGACAAGAGCAAUGGAAAUUUCAAUUCAGAGAGACACAACAAUUUGUUUCACUGUCUGGCUGAGCUACAUGAUAAUGCUCUACAGGAGGAGGUUCUGACUGACCACCACAUGUAGAUAUGGUUAAAGUGACUAUCCAUGUAUGAUGAACAGAGAAUAGCCCGGUUAGCCAAUGUGCGGGAGCACUGGUUGGUCAGCCCAAUUGAGGUAGUAUGUACAUGAAUGUAUAGUUAAAGUAACUAUGCAUAUAUGAUAAACAGAGAGUAGCAACAGCGUAAAAAGAGGGGUUGGGGGGGCACACAAUGUAAAUAGUCCGGGUAACCAUUUGAUUACCUGUUCAGGAGUCUUAUGGCUUGGGAGUAAAAACUGUUGAGAAGCCUUUUUGUCCUAGACUUGUAACUCCGGUACUGCUUGCCAUGCGGUAGUAGAGAGAACAGUCUAUGACUGGGGUGGCUGGAGUCUUUGACCAUUUUUAGGGCCUUCCUCUGACACUGCCUGGUGUAGAGGUCCUGGAUGGCAGGCAGCUUAGCCCCAGUGAUGUACUGGGCCGUACACACUACCCUCUGUAGUGCCUUGCAGUCAGAGGCCGAGCCAUUGCCGUAGCAGGCAGUGAUGCAACUAGUCAGGAUGCUCUCGAUGUUGCAGCUGUAUAACCUUUUGAGGAUCUCAGGACCAAUGCCAAAUCUUUUCAGUUUCCUGAGGUGGAAUCGGCUUUGUUGCGCCCUCUUCACGACUGUCUUGGUGUGUUUGGAGCAUUCUAGUUUGUUGUUGAUGUGGACACCAAGGAACUUGAAGCUCUCAACCUGCUCCACUACAGCCCUGUCGAUGAGAAUGGGGGCGUGCUCGGUCCUCCUUUUCCUGUAGUCCACAAUCAUCUCCUUAGUCUUGGUUACGUUGAGGGAUAGGUUGUUAUUCUGGCACCACCCGGCCAGGUCUCUGACCUCCUCCCUAUAGGCUGUCUCGUCGUUGUCGGUGAUCAGGCCUACCACUGUUGUGUCGUCUGCAAACUUAAUGAUGGUGUUGGAGUCGUGCCUGGCCAUGCAGUCGUGGGUGAACAGGGAGUACAGGAGGGGACUGAGCACUCACACCUGGGGAGCUCCAGUGUUGAGGAUCAGCGUGGCAGAUGUGUUGCUACCUACCCUCACCACCUGGGAGCGGCCCGUCAGGACGUCCAGGAUCCAGUUGCAGAGGGAG
rnacentral:lncRNA from 1 species